GACAUCCUGAAGUUCUUGAAAAAGAAGAAACCUGAAGAUGCCUUCUGUGUUGUGGGAAUAACAAUGAUUGAUCUUUACCCAAGAGACUUGUGGAAUUUUGUCUUUGGACAGGCCUCUUUGACAGAUGGGUCUCCCUCUAUCACCCAGGCUGAUCAUGGGUCACUGCAACCUCAGCCUCCUGGGCUGAAGGGAUCCUCCUGCCUCGCCUCAGCCUCCUGAGUAGCUG
rnacentral:lncRNA from 10 species